UACAGAGGUCUCAACCGUUGUUCGGAUUCAUUGGGCGUAAAGGGUGCGUAGGCGGUCGUGCAAGUCGGAUGUGAAAUCUCAGGGCUCAACCCUGAAACUGCAUUCGAUACUGCGUGGCUAGAGUGCUGGAGAGGAGACUGGAAUUUACGGUGUAGCAGUGAAAUGCGUAGAUAUCGUAAGGAAGACCAGUGGCGAAGGCGAGUCUCUGGACAGCAACUGACGCUGAGGCACGAAGGCGUGGGGAGCGAACAGG
rnacentral:rRNA from 1 species